UUUAAAGUCUAAUCUGCCCUAUGAGGAUUUAAAUGGCCGCGGUAUUUUGACCGUGCAAAGGUAGCAUAAUAAUUAGUUUUUUAAUUGAAAGCUGGAAUGAAUGAUUGGACGAGAAAAUAACUGUCUCAAUUUAGAUUAAAUUAGAAUUUUAUUUUUAAGUAAAAAAGCUUAAAUUUAAUUAAAAGACGAGAAGACCCUAUAGAGUUUUAUAUUUAAUUAUUUAUUUAUUUUUUAGAAUUAUUAUAUUAAUAUUUAAUUAAUUAUUUUGUUGGGGUGAUAGAAAAAUUGAAUAAACUUUUUUUAUAUUAUAUCAUUAAUUUAUGAAUAUAUGAUCCAUUUUUUAUGAUUAUAAGAUUAAAUUACCUUAGGGAUAACAGCGUAAUUUUUUUUUAGAGUUCUUAUCGAAAGAAAAGAUUGCGACCUCGAUGUUGGAUUAAAAUUAAUAUUUGGUGUAGAAGCUAAGUAAUUAGGUCUGUUCGACCUUUAAAAUUUUACAUGAUCUGAGUUUAGACCGGCGUGAGCCAGGUUGGUUUCUAUCUUUAAUAAAUGAUGAUAUUUUAGUACGAAAGGACCAAAUAUUUAUAAAAUUUAUUUAUUUUUGAAUAAUAUUAG
rnacentral:rRNA from 1 species